rnacentral:misc_RNA from 1 species
GAUGAAGAACGCAGCGAAAUGCGAUAAGUAAUGUGAAUUGCAGAAUUCAGUGAAUCAUCGAAUCUUUGAACGCACAUUGCGCCCGCUAGUAUUCUGGCGGGCAUGCCUGUCCGAGCGUCAUUUCAACCCUCAAGCCCCCGGGCUUGGUGUUGGGGAUCGGCGAGCCUCCGCGCCCGCCGUCCCCUAAAUCUAGUGGCGGUCUCGCUGUAGCUUCCUCUGCGUAGUAGCACACCUCGCACUGGGAAACAGCGCGGCCACGCCGUUAAACCCCCAACUUCUGAACGUUUGACCUCGGAUCAGGUAGGAAUACCCGCUGAACUUAAGCAUAUCAAUUAAGCGGAGGA